AUAUAGGACAAUCUACCUUUAAGUAGGGAUAAAUUAAAAGAAAAGAAUCCUGUAUAGUUUUCCCUUCAGGUCAAGGGUCUUGU
rnacentral:pre_miRNA from 1 species